rnacentral:lncRNA from 1 species
UUCCCCUCCCCCUCAUCCCUGCAUGUUACCCGUGCCCCUGACAGUGACGGUUGGCCUCCCUGUCUUUUGUUAACGUGUCCUGCUUAGUAUCACAUUAAUGUGUAGCUAUUAGAGAUGUGUCUCAGACCUUGUGGAGGGUGUCCGCGCCGCUCACUAAAACAUGGUAGUCACCGUUACGCUCAAGAAUAGAAGGCCCUCUACACGCAGGUAAUUAAGGCCUUCCUCUCCAAUAAAGAAUGUCCAUACCAUUGAUGAUGGAUGGUUGCCUUAAGGCCUAAAUGUUGUUUAUUUCAGUCACUAAAAAAACAAAGGUCUCCUAUAUGUAAAAUGUGUGUGUAAAUCACGUAGAAAUUAACGUGAUGAUGAAUAAUGUGAAAAUCUAUGACCACUAAGGAAAUUGAGACAGAAAAUUGCUUAAGCUCUGUAGUUUAAUUUAACACAUCCAGAUGAUGGAUGUAUAUAGGUAGGGAAAGUCAGGUUACGUGGGAAGGAAAAGUCUUUAUAGUUAACUUUAUGAGCAUUUAGAAAAGAGGAAGCCGCAGAAGGCCUAUUUACCCAUGGCAGGUACCGGAGGUAUGUCUCCCCCCCCCCCUCUGGGAAAUAGUGCAUAAUAAUCGUAUUAGAUUCCACGAGGUUAGAAAUAGCCUAAACUACUCUAUCCUUUCGAGGUGUAUUUUAUUAUUUCAAUAAACUUACUUUAACUUUAUUUAAAUUGUUUUUUAAUUGAUCAAUUAAAAGUGAGUUCGAACUAUUUAAACUAUUACUAAAAUUCAUGCUACAUGGCGUUGUAAUUUGUAUUAAAGCAGAUUUAACAAUAUUUUAUAUUUAAAAUGCAUUUACAAUUUGUAAAAGAGGAUCGCCCUGGGACGUAAUAUCCGGGUUUUGGGGGAGGAGGGUGGGGAAGUCUGCCGAAAGCAUUGAAUAAAGCAGACAGCAGAACAUGCAAGCAUGAUCAGUGAUAAAAUAUAGUCAAAGUGCAGCGUAUAUAAUAGACAAUAAACUGAAAAGCAAGAUUAAAAGUAAGCAUUGUAGUUAGCUAUGGAAAAAGAUUGAUAAUGACAUCACUAGGUAAAAUGAAUAAUAUCGGGACACGAGAAUAUUCAGACUAGUGUUUAACAGCGGACUACACUCAGGUCAGAUGGUGGACGGAUAUGAGGCAAGAGUUGAAGUGGCGGAUCUGCUUGUUGAGCGCUCAUUAGCCAGCCUCGCACUGCAGUCCACUAUACCCUCACUUUAAAUGCCUAUAAUAUAAUCGUCUCUUAUUAACUGUACACCUAUUCCGUUAUCUAUCCCACCCAACCUAUGCUCCUCGAGCUCCCCCCCCCCCGCCACAGUGUACCAACAGUCAUAACUCUUAAUCAGUCAUUGGAGGCUCACAUUAACCGCGUAACAUCAGCGGUGUGUGCUAAGCUGGUGAACGUUCGUGUACCAUUCAGGAACUUCAACACAGAAGCUUUAAAGACAUUAUACUGACUAUGCUAGCCCAGCGCUAAAUUUAGUUGCUCCAGUGUGAAAUCUCCAAUUUAAACAGACGAAGCAAAACUCUGAUUUUAUAUAAAUUCAUAUUUAUAAAUUCAUAAAUUUAUAUAUAAUUCAGGCUCUGAGAAUGAACCGGGAGGUUGGAGAGGCUUUGAUCCCAUUCACUGGCGCCUAAUCAUGUUCGAAAGCCUGGAGGUGAAAGCCAAUAAAGAAGCGGGAGCCGUUCAAUUCUAGCUAGGUAAAUUUGGUGGCAGCUCCUGGCUUAUUGUCUCUGAGGUUAAAAAAAAAGUGAAAACUGCUGCUGAUAUGGUCAGGAAAUAAAUGCCUUUCAACCUUAAGUUGAUUUUACUUUUGUCUGUGAAAGACUAAGCAGACUACCAGCAACUCGGUGGACGGACCCGAAUGAGGAACGAAGCACCACAGAAGACUGAUUAAUGCUGCCUUGCAGUGCAAGUGGCCGUUAUCAUGGGGCAUCCUGGUGGUCCUGGAGAGGCGCCCGAUGCUGACAUGGACCCAGGUGGUCGGCACGUCAUCCUGGGGCAGCCUGGUGGUCCUGGGAAAGUGACUGGUACUGACAUGGUCACAAAAAAACAUUUUGGUCAAUAUUUCAGGCUGUGACUAAGAUUUCUGAGCAGCACAAUCAAAGUAAAGUGUGUAGUGACAGUGAACAAUUGUUGUUGAUCAAACCACACACUAGAAAUUGAGGCGAUGACGUUUCGGUCUGUCCAGGACCACUAUAAAGUCGAUUGUGUCAAGACCAUUAUCAAGUUGAACACAAUAGACUUGAUAAUGGUCCAGGACGGACCGAAACAUCGUCGUCUCUUCAAAUUCUAGUGUGUGAUUGGGUCAACAUUUUUCAGCCACGUUAUUGUGACUUUUAUCUGAACAAUUGUUAACGAAUAGUGAGGAAUUCUUCGUGUUACAGCAGUAUAACACGAAAAAUGUGAACACAACAAUCACCUGUGACCACAUGGGAUUGUAAACUUCAAACAGUGAAGUGCAAACGCAUUGAUGAUGUGCAGUGACAUUUCUAGUAAUUUUCAAGCUGAUAAACUAACACUGGUGGACAUUGGAAAUUGUGACAUAGCCAGAUAUAAGAUCAAUAGGAAACAACAAAGUUAUAAUAGAUUAACACCAGUAAUUUAGUUUGUCAAUAGAUGAACAGUUUAACGGCGAGGUGAGGACGAAAGAAUAAAACUAUA